rnacentral:rRNA from 1 species
AGUGAACGCUGGCGGCAGGCCUAACACAUGCAAGUCGAGCGGCAGCGCGGGGGCAACCCUGGCGGCGAGCGGCGGACGGGUGAGGAAUGCAUCGGAAUCUACCUCGUUGUGGGGGAUAACCUCGGGAAACCGGGACUAAUACCGCAUACGACCUACGGGUGAAAGUGGGGGACCUUCGGGCCUCACGCGAUGAGAUGAGCCGAUGCCGGAUUAGCUAGUUGGCGGGGUAAAGGCCCACCAAGGCGACGAUCCGUAGCUGGUCUGAGAGGAUGAUCAGCCACACUGGAACUGAGACACGGUCCAGACUCCUACGGGAGGCAGCAGUGGGGAAUAUUGGACAAUGGGCGCAAGCCUGAUCCAGCCAUGCCGCGUGUGUGAAGAAGGCCUCGGUUGUAAGCAC